GCCCGAAAAUUAAUAUAGAUAAAUAUUCUAUACCUUUAAAAUUUCAUCCCUUUGCAGAACAGAUGAACUCUGACUUGGGUUGUAAUGUUACAUAAAAAUAUAGUGUCAGGUAGACGUGCAAACCAAAAACAACCAGGUGACAUUACACAUCCUGUGUGUACAUGUAUUACCAGAGUUUAAAUUUUGCGAUAUACAAAAGUUUUCAUAAAUGUACAAAUAAACUUUCUCUUAAUUUCCCGUUUCAAAUCAGAAGAAGUAUCUAUUAUAAUAAACU
rnacentral:lncRNA from 1 species